AAUGCACCAAUUUGUAAGUCGCUAUGGAUAAGAGCGUCUGCUAAAUGACGUAAA
rfam:Salmo salar isolate Sally breed double haploid chromosome ssa21, whole genome shotgun sequence.